rnacentral:rRNA from 1 species
UACGUAGGGGGCGUAGCGUUGUCCGGAUUUACUGGGCGUAAAGCGCGCGUAGGCGGCCCGUUAAGUCGGAUGUGAAAACCCAGGGCUCAACCCUGGGCCUGCAUCCGAUACUGGCGGGCUCGAGGCAGGUAGGGGAGAGCGGAAUUCCCGGUGUAGCGGUGAAAUGCGCAGAUAUCGGGAGGAACACCGGUGGCGAAGGCGGCUCUCUAGGCC